rnacentral:lncRNA from 1 species
ACCAAAAGAGACACAAACAUUUAACGUGGUUUAGUCCAAACAAACUGUUACUUUAUUAUUUGCAAACUCGUGCACUUCACUUAUUUCAUUAUUACACAGGGUACGAAAGUAAAGGAUACAACAAAUUAAAAGGCGAUAGCAAGCCUAUCGUCAAUUAAAGAGGUCUGAUUGUAUAUAGUGGUUGAACAUAGUCUAUAUACACAUGGGAUAAUAUGGCGAGUUUUGUGCGCAAACACAACAAAUCCAACAAUCACUACAAUCAGCGCUGGUAGUACAAGCUCUAGUACAAGUUUUAAGAUCAUUAGCUUGUGGAAGUAGUCUCCUCUGGACUGUAGCGAGAUCAUGAUCAACAUUUGGUGUAGCCAUCACCGAUGUCCUUUCGAGCCACGAAAUAUUCGCUGAAAUAUUAACCAUGAUAAUAAUUAUUAAUGUCAAAAGCAGUCUGAUUUGACAAAAAAUCACACGUCAAAUUGUUAGGACCGAAAAAAUCAGAUGUCAUGCGAAAUCUGUCAAUUGACCUACGUCCACGGCGGAGAUGAACAAUCCACCAUAUAAAAGAGAGUACAAAAUAUUGAAAGAACAACCUUACGAAGAUGCAAACACAAGUGACAGACUAACACUUGUACCGUAAAGUUCUCCCCCUAAACAUGACUUUUAAACGUAACCUCAUAUGACUAUAUUGUGGAUGCUAAUGAAUCGGAAGGAAGGAUCCUCAAUUUAUAAAAGUCCAAACAUUUUUCCUACAAGAAAAAGGACUAGCCAAAUAUGGAAGAUUUAUAAUUUUCUUUUACGGAAAGGAAAACCAAAUUAUGAUAAAUAUGGUGUCCUUUCUUCAAAGGCGGAUGCAUGAAUUAAAUUUCAUGAAUUCAACUUUUAAGAGUUUUAGCAUUGAACCCAAUAUAUUCUUAAACUUAUGGGUUUAUAUCUACUCUUUUUGCAAUUUUACUGAAUUUUUACAUAUAUUUUUUAUUCCACGUCGAAAGUUAUGGGUUCAAUUGAACUCGUUGAUAACACGCUACAUCCGCCCCUGCCUUUUCUUCAAGAGAUAGGAAAAUCAAAUAUGAUAAAAAUAUCAGGAUAAAUGCCUAACACAAAUGUCAUUCAUAUGGAUAUAUCAUUAUCAAAGCAUGCAUAUGAAAUACUAUGAGAUAAUCACAUACAAAGUAAAUAUAAUUAGAUAGAAUUAUAAUAUAGAGAUAAAGAUAUAUGAAUACCAGCUGCUGAUAUGAGAAGAAUAGUAAGGAUGAAGCCAAGCUUAUGUACCAUCAUGUUAGCCAUUAGUACUUCACGCUUUUUUGUGUGCGCAUCUCAUUGCUCUUCAAAUAUCGUAAUUUAUAGACCUUCUUGAAG